rnacentral:rRNA from 1 species
GUGGGGAAUUUUGGACAAUGGGCGCAAGCCUGAUCCAGCAAUGCCGCGUGCAGGAAGAAGGCCUUCGGGUUGUAAACUGCUUUUGUACGGAACGAAACGGCUCUGGUUAAUACCCGGGGCUAAUGACGGUACCGUAAGAAUAAGCACCGGCUAACUACGUGCCAGCAGCCGCGGUAAUACGUAGGGUGCAAGCGUUAAUCGGAAUUACUGGGCGUAAAGCGUGCGCAGGCGGUUGUGUAAGACAGGCGUGAAAUCCCCGGGCUCAACCUGGGAAUUGCGCUUGUGACUGCACAGCUGGAGUGCGGCAGAGGGGGAUGGAAUUCCGCGUGUAGCAGUGAAAUGCGUAGAUAUGCGGAGGAACACCGAUGGCGAAGGCAAUCCCCUGGGCCUGCACUGACGCUCAUGCACGAAAGCGUGGGGAGCAAACAGGAUUAGAAACCCUGGUAGUCC